rnacentral:lncRNA from 1 species
CUUUUAGGUUACCAAUCCGGUAAAUUCCCACCAUCUCGUUGCUCGUUGCCUUCUGAAAAUUGCAGUCAAGUGAAUUCGGAAAAAGAAACCUUCAUCGCAGCCCAUAAUAUCAUUUUAUCACAUGCAACAGCUGCUGAUAUCUACAGGAAAAAGUAUCAGGUAUCUAUCAAAUUUUCAAACAUGAUUGAGUCAUUUUAUCACAAUGGCUCCAAAUUAGAGAUUUAUAACUCGGGUUCGAGUUAAGUCUAACCCCGUCUCACCAAAGAAGCAGUUGGAAUCUAAUUAAAACAUCUCCAUAGGCAAGGUGUGAAUUGAGUACUGAUUUAUGAAGGAACAGCUUCAUGAAAAUUAAUCAUAAAACAGAACUUGUCAAGAAAUAGUGAACUCACCAUCUUAGUGAACAUCCAGGAAAAGCAAGGCGGCAGCAUUGGGAUUGUUUUACAUGCUCUGUGGUUUGAACCCAUAAGCAACUCCACAGCUGAUAAAUUAGCAGCUGAAAGAGCCUGGUCCUUCUUUUUUAACUGGUAAGCUUCUUCACCUUACUUUCUGCUGAUUCUCCAUAGAAGCAUUCAACAUAACUAAAGAGGUUUAUCGCUGACAUACCUUGACAUAUGGCACGAAUUUAACUAAAAUUGAAUGCAGGUUCUUGGACCCAAUUAUAUUUGGGAAAUACCCG